GUAAAAGUCGUAACAAGGUUUCCGUAGGUGAACCUGCGGAAGGAUCAUUACCGAAUCCGUUCAACCUUAACACACCGUGAACUUGGUCGCGCAUUGUUGCGCACGUCUCCUUUCGGGGUUGCCUCUCGCGGGGCAUUAAAUCGAGGUUGUCGUCGGCGUCGUCGUCGUGUUCGUCCGUUCUAGAUUACUAGAAACGUUCGGGUGCGAAGGCGUGCUGCUGCUGCUGCUUCUCUCGGGCCCCGUCUGGAGCGUGCGUGUGGUGCGUGGGUUUCUCACCGCGCCACCUCGUGUGGAUGCAUCCUUCAAUCUUCUCAAACCAAGCAAAUUUGCAGACAGAACUGUUGGGCUUUCUUCCAGAAGAAAGCUUGUCUUAAUGAUCAAAUCAUGGACAACUUUCAACGGUGAGAGUCUCUUGGCUCGUGSRUCGAUGAAGAACGCAGCAAAACGCGAUAUGUAGUGUGAAUUGCAGAAUUCAGUGAAUCAUCGARUCUUUUGAACGCAAAUGGCGCUCCUGGGUAUUCCCAGGAGCAUGUCUGUCUCAGUGUUGUUUUCACCUCGAACGCGCUUCGGCGCGGUUGUCUUGAGGCGUCUGAGAGACCCGUCCGCGGUUCGAGGCCUCUGGCAGCGAACCUGCGACUCGUUCCUCUCAGUCCCUUGAAAUUCAGUGGCCGAACGUUGUGCUGAAGCAUGGCCUCGGGUCGGUUCGCCCCGGAUCUGCUCGCACGGCUGAUCAGCUCCGUCUGUCGUCGUGUCGCAGCGGCCUGGGUGCACUUGACAUCGUGCUGGCUGCAACCGUUCGAACAAAGCCAUCUCUGGAAAACAAGCUUGCUGGCCGUUUCUUUCUCUCUUCCGGGGGAGAAGCAACUCACAGCAAACAUCUCCAACCUGAGAUCAGUCAAGACUACCCGCUGAAUUUAAGCAUAUUAAUAAGCGAGAAAAGGAACCCCC
rnacentral:rRNA from 1 species